rnacentral:lncRNA from 1 species
AACAGAACUUGGUGCAAAUAAGAAUGUGGCUGGGACCCAUUAGGAUUGUUUUUUCCCCCACACCCUGACCUUCUUAGGGGACGCAAGAGCUUACAGGUUGCCAGGGUGAGCCGUCACACAGCAGAGGAGAGGGGAUUAAAUAAAAACUCCUAAGGUAAGAAGUUCAGUGCUUUACAUAAAACAGUAAACUAUGCAUCUCAUUUUAUUAUGACUCCAUAUGUCAGGAGGGGAUGCUAUUGAAGUAACAAUCAUUUAAAAACAACAACCAACAAACCAGCAUUUAAUUUGGUAUUUAAAACCAAUCAUUGAAAGUCAAACGGAAGCAGUAUGUAAAAUAACUAAGAUAACAAGUAGUAUGAACUCAAGCUCUGUGUAUUGAAAUAUGAUAAUUCAUCACGAGUGAGCUACAAUGUACCUGCAAGGACAGGAAGGGCAUACGUUAGCAAAGAGAGGCUGUUAGAGUGCAGGAUUCCCCUCAACAUUUUAAAGGGCUUUAGAACAGAUUUUCUAUGCAAACACUAACCAACUAUAAUUUGUUGUAUGUUCUUUCACACAUGACCUUAUUUGAAGCAGUGUUCUUACUAACACAGUUCAUAUUAAUAAAACAUUGAGAAGAAUUUUCUUUCCCAGAUAUUUCACUAGUUUGAAAGAGUUAUUCCAGAGAUUAGUCUGAAUUUCUGUGGCAACCUAAGCCAUUAAUGAAGACAUGCGUCUGAAAAUAAGGCAGUCUCUCUAUAAUCUGUUCAUGAAUAGAAAACAAAUCUUUGGUUUUCUGCUUAAAGUGGCAGAGAAGAUUUUGCAAAAAGAAAUAUUAAAUAACAAACACAAAGAGCUCUUAACAAGCAAUGGGAAACUCCAAACCCCAUCAAGGUAAGUAGAGUACCUAAGGCACCUCAGGUUCAGAUGAUACAAUCGUCUGCUUAGAGUUCAAACAGUCUGUGUACAUGAUUCUUACCAUCUGGAGAAGCUGAAGCC